AUCGGGAUAACACCUGGAAACAGAUGCUAAUACCGGAUAACAACAGAUGAUGCCUAUCAACUGUUUAAAGANUGGUUCUGCUAUCACUCUUGGAUGGACCUGCGGUGCAUUAGCUAGUUGGUAGGGUAACGGCCUACCAAGGCGAUGAUGCAUAGCCGAGUUGAGAGACUGAUCGGCCACAUUGGGACUGAGACACGGCCCAAACUCCUACGGGAGGCAGCAGCC
rnacentral:rRNA from 1 species